UGCCAGCCGCCGCGGUAAUACAGAGGGUGCAAACGUUGUUCGGAAUUACUGGGCGUAAAGCGCGUGUAGGCGGUUCGUUAAGUCUGAUGUGAAAGCCCGGGGCUCAACCCCGGAAGUGCAUUGGAAACUGGCGAACUUGAGUACGGGAGAGGGGAGUGGAAUUCCAGGUGUAGCGGUGAAAUGCGUAGAGAUCUGGAGGAACAUCAGUGGCGAAGGCGACUCCCUGGACUGAUAUUGACGCUGAGGUGCGAAAGCGUGGGGAGCAAACAGGAUUAGAUA
rnacentral:rRNA from 1 species